UGCCAACGACAAGUUGGAGGAAGGUGGGAUGACGUCAAAUCAUCAUGCCCUUAUGACCUGGGCUACAACGUACUACAAUGGCCAAUACAAAGAGAUGCGAAGCGGUGACGUGGAGCGAACCUCAGAAAGUUGGUCUCAGUUCAGAUUGAAGUCUGCAACUCGACUUCAUGAAGGCGGAAUCGCUAGUAAUCGCGAGUCAGCAGAUCGCGGUGAAUACGUUCCGGGUUU
rnacentral:rRNA from 1 species